rnacentral:rRNA from 1 species
AGUGAACGCUGGCGGUAGGCCUAACACAUGCAAGUCGCACGGCAGCACAGUAAGAGCUUGCUCUUACGGGUGGCGAGUGGCGGACGGGUGAGGAAUACAUCGGAAUCUACUUUUUCGCGGGGGAUAACGUAGGGAAACUUACGCUAAUACCGCAUACGACCUACGGGUGAAAGCAGGGGAUCUUCGGACCUUGCGCGAUUGAAUGAGCCGAUGUCGGAUUAGCUGGUUGGCGGGGUAAAGGCACACCAAGGCGACGAUACGUAGCUGGUGUGAGAGGAUGGUCAGCCACACUGGAACUGAGCCACGGUCCAGACUCCUACGGGAGGCAGCAGUGGGGAAUAUUGGACAAUGGGCGCAAGCCUGAUCCAGCCAUACCGCGUGGGUGAAGGAGGCCUUCGGGUUGUAAAGCCCUUUUGUUGGGAAAGAAAAGCAGCGGGUUAAUACCCCGCUGUUCUGACGGUACCCAAAGAAUAAGCACCGGCUAACUUCGUG